UUACGCAUACACCAUUUGGCUCUAAGCUGCCUUUGUUAGAAAACCCUUCAGAAGCCCCAGGAGGCAGGGAUGAGCAGCAGCUCUUCCUCAACAGAUUCCGCUGUCAUUACUCUGAGAAAUGCCCGUGAUGCUCAGACUCCGGCGCUGAACUGCCCGUGAUGCUCCGAUUCCGGUGCUGAACUGCCCGUGAUGCUCUGAUUCUGAUGCUGAAUUGGAUAAAGGGGCCCUGGUGGAUUCUUGGUGUGGAUGAUGAAAUAUGAAAACAGAAUGGGACCUUAUUUGUAAAUAGGAUCUUUGCAGGUGCAAUUAAGGCAGAUAUCCUUCGUGGUUCAGCUGUCCACUUCUCAAAACUGAUCGGCAGGAAUAAUCACACGAGUCCCUAAGGAUGUGAGGAUGAGGACGGUCACGUCACUGUUUCUAAGAGCAGACCCCUGUGCCCACAGGAGCCCAGGACCAAGGGGUGACCAUGGCCUGGGUCGGCCACACAGGGACGAGGAAGAACUAGCCAAAGACCUGACCCCAGA